GGAUCACUCUUCUUCUUCAAUGUAAUCAUUUUUCUCAUCUUUUCUCUAGCUUCACAGAACAUUCUCCUAAUGUCUUCUUCUUUCUCUCUGGUUUCUCUGAAGAACAUCCACAAUCUGUGGCUGUAAUAAGCUUCUUUGAAUGGCUUAUGUAGAGGAAUCCUGAAGACUCUCUUUUGGAAAUUUUCCUUUUAUUUUUCAUUAGCCCCC
rnacentral:lncRNA from 1 species